CAGAUCAAGACGAGCGUUUAGCAAUGUUUCCAUUAAAAAAAAUCUAAACUUCAAAGACCUUUAGCGUUUGAAAAGAAUGCGCUAAAUUUUACAGAUAAUGAGAAAACAAAUGUGAGAGAACGCAUUUAGGCAUGCCGUUUUACUUUGACUCGUGUUUGCUGCACCAGGAAAUGACCUACAGUUCCUCCGAUCAGUUCUCUCAGAUGCAUCGCUGCUGUGUCAUAAAACGCUCUCCACAGUUUGUCUUCUAAUAUUUACCAGAAGAAAGACAGUCGUGUAGGUUUAGAACGAAAAGCGAGGUUUUGACAGCACUGAAGGUGUCUGGGUCUUCUACUUUACGUCAGGUGGAGAUACAUCACGUAUAUAAUAAAAUGGCAUCCAAAUGAAAACAGAUUGUGAGGCCAACCAUGCAGCACCUUGGGCCUCCAUUACUGGGUUGGCUUGCUGAGCGCAGAAGACGGAUGAGACUAUUCAUUUUCAGUGCCGAACGGCCUCACUGCGUAAGUGGAGCAUGCAGCAAAUGCAUGCUGCUGAACACAGCCUCAACAUCAGCCAGUUUUACUGAAAUUUUGUGCUGUAAUGAGUGUUAGAAGAAAUAAUGGCAUGAAUAGGAAGGUUUGUUGCAUAUGUUGUUUUUUGGCACUGGGCACUGUUGCACCAGCUGUGUUCUAGGUUAAAAUGUAGCCUGUUGUGGAAUAAUGGGUUCCUGCAAAAAUUUGAGCACCGCAUCAUUAAACUUAGUAGAAUUGUAACUGCGUAUGAACUGAAUGUUUAUGGAAGCCUCGUAAGAAGUAACAGUUGGAAUA